AUUUCCAUAGAGAGCCACUUUGCAUCAGCAGCACCAUGCUCCAGUGCUCUGGGACACUUUAUAGUCCUGAGACUUGAAGGCUGGAUGACUGACAGCUGUCCUUCAUGACAAGACAAGCCACAGAAAUCCACCUCAAAACAUGACUCUGAUCUCUGUCCUCAUCUGGACUCUCCUCUGCUGCUGCUUCACAGAGUCCAGAGGCCAGGUCACGCUGACUCAGCCUGAAGCAGUGAGCUCUGCUCUGGGAGGCUCCGUCACCAUCAGCUGUAGAACCAGUCAGAACGUUCAUGUUUGGAGCAACAACCAGCUUUUAGCCUGGCACCAACGGAAAGAUGGAGAAACUCCUAAACUGCUUAUUUACUUUUCUUCCACCCGAGCAUCAGGGAUUGCAGGUCAUUUUACAGGCAGUGGAUCAAACUCUGACUUCACUCUGACCAUCAGUGGAGUCCAGGUUGAAGAUGCAGCAGUUUACUACUGUCAGAGUGAACAUUAUAUCAACAGUCAGCAUCUGUUCACACAGUGAG